rnacentral:rRNA from 1 species
AUUGAACGCUGGCGGCAGGCCUAACACAUGCAAGUCGAACGAGUGGCGGACGGGUGAGUAAUGUCUGGGAAACUGCCUGAUGGAGGGGGAUAACUACUGGAACCGGUAGCUAAUCCCGCAUACCAUCGGAUGUGCCCAGAUGGGAGUAGCUAGUAGGUGGGGUAAAGGCUCACCUCGGCGACGAUCCCUAGCUGGUCUGAGAGGAUGACCGGCCACACUGGAACUGAGACACUGUCCAGACUCCUACGGGAGGCAGCAGUGGGGAAUAUUGCACAAUGGGCGCAAGCCUGAUGCAGCCAUGCCGCGUGUAUGAAGAAGGCCUUCGGGUUGUAAAGUUCUUUCAGCGGGGAGGCGGUACCCGCAGAAGAAGCACCGGCUAACUCCGUGCCAGCCGCCGCGGUAAUAC